rnacentral:rRNA from 1 species
GAUGAACGCUGGCGGCGUGCUUAACACAUGCAAGUCGAACGAUGAAGCCAGCUUGCUGGUGGAUUAGUGGCGAACGGGUGAGUAACACGUGAGUAACCUGCCCUUAACUCUGGGAUAAGCCUGGGAAACUGGGUCUAAUACCGGAUAUGACUUCCCAUCGCAUGGUGGGGGGUGGAAAGCUUUUGUGGUUUUGGAUGGACUCGCGGCCUAUCAGCUUGUUGGUGAGGUAAUGGCUCACCAAGGCGACGACGGGUAGCCGGCCUGAGAGGGUGACCGGCCACACUGGGACUGAGACACGGCCCAGACUCCUACGGGAGGCAGCAGUGGGGAAUAUUGCACAAUGGGCGGAAGCCUGAUGCAGCGACGCCGCGUGAGGGAUGACGGCCUUCGGGUUGUAAACCUCUUUCAGUAGGGAAGAAGCGUAAGUGACGGUACCUGCAGAAGAAGCGCCGGCUAACUACGUGCCAGCCGCCGCAGUAA